rnacentral:rRNA from 1 species
UGCAAGUCGAGCGGGCCUUUCGGGGUCAGCGGCGGACGGGUGAGUAACGCGUGGGAACGUGCCCUCUGGUUCGGAAUAACUCAGGGAAACUUGAGCUAAUACCGGAUACGCCCUUUUGGGGAAAGGCUUGCUGCCGGAGGAUCGGCCCGCGUCUGAUUAGCUAGUUGGUGAGGUAACGGCUCACCAAGGCGACGAUCAGUAGCUGGUCUGAGAGGAUGAUCAGCCACACUGGGACUGAGACACGGCCCAGACUCCUACGGGAGGCAGCAGUGGGGAAUAUUGGACAAUGGGCGCAAGCCUGAUCCAGCCAUGCCGCGUGAGUGAUGAAGGCCUUAGGGUUGUAAAGCUCUUUUAUCCGGGACGAUAAUGACGGUACCGGAGGAAUAAGCCCCGGCUAACUUCGUGCCAGCAGCCGCGGUAAUGCGAAGGGGGCUAGCGUUGCUCGGAAUCACUGGGCGUAAAGGGCGCGUAGGCGGCGUUUUAAGUCGGGGGUGAAAGCCUGUGGCUCAACCACAGAAUGGCCUUCGAUACUGGGACGCUUGAGUAUGGUAGAGGUUGGUGGAACUGCGAGUGUAGAGGUGAAAUUCGUAGAUAUUCGCAAGAACACCGGUGGCGAAGGCGGCCAACUGG